rnacentral:rRNA from 1 species
UACGAAGGGUGCAAGCGUUAAUCGGAAUUACUGGGCGUAAAGCGUGCGCAGGCGGUUGUGCAAGACAGAUGUGAAAUCCCCGGGCUUAACCUGGGAAUUGCAUUUGUGACUGCACGGCUAGAGUGUGUCAGAGGGGGGUAGAAUUCCACGUGUAGCAGUGAAAUGCGUAGAUAUGUGGAGGAAUACCGAUGGCGAAGGCAGCCCCCUGGGAUAACACUGACGCUCAUGCACGAAAGCGUGGGGAGCAAACAGG